rnacentral:lncRNA from 1 species
UAGCCCAUGCCCUCUAGCUCUAGGCAUCCUCCCUUGGAUCUAGGAGAGAGGUGGGCAGCAUCCCCUUCCUUGGUGUCAAGGGUUGGUGCUAAGGAUCUUGAUUUCUUCUUGUUCCUUUCAGGUUUGUUGGAAGUUAGUUACAACCACUUCUUAUUAGUAGUUCUUAAUUAGUUGAGAGAUCAAGAAAGAUUCUUGGCUUCUUCAAGAAUUAAGAAAGAAGGAUCAAAAAGGGUUCAAGGAUUGAUCCCUAUCUAGACUUGGUUCAAGCCUAUUCAGGCUUUGAGUUCAAGUGAAUUAUAUCAAGAGGAGCCUAUCCAGCUCGAUCC